rnacentral:rRNA from 1 species
UACGUAGGGCGCAAGCGUUAUCCGGAAUUAUUGGGCGUAAAGAGCUCGUAGGCGGUUUGUCGCGUCUGCCGUGAAAGUCCGGGGCCCAACUCCGGAUCUGCGGUGGGUACGGGCAGACUAGAGUGAUGUAGGGGAGACUGGAAUUCCUGGUGUAGCGGUGAAAUGCGCAGAUAUCAGGAGGAACACCGGUGGCGAAGGCGGGUCUCUGGGCAGUAACUGACGCUGAGGAGCGAAAGCGUGGGGAGCGAACAGG